rnacentral:lncRNA from 1 species
UGUAUUUGCUCCGUCUUUUUAUUCUCCUCUUUCAAAGGCUGAUCCCUUCCUGUCCCCAUCCCACCCUUACUUCUCAAAACCAUUUCUUCUUCAACUAUAAGCCCACUCUUUCCUAUAUCAUCAGCCCUCCCUCUAAUUAUUCCUAUCAUUAUACAAUAUGUUUUUCUCUCUUCCAACAUUAAAAACAUCUCUUUUGGCCCUGUGCCUGUUUUAAACUGCUUUCCCAUACCUUUGUCUCCUCUUAUGUCUUGCUUUUUUAGAAGAACUUAGGCAUAUAUUAAAGGUGUCUACUCCCAAUCUACACUUCUGUCUCUUUCAUUCUGCAUCUGUUCUGCUUCUACUUGUUUCACUCUACCAAAACUGCAGUUUUCCAGGUCAUGAACAAUUGCUCUAUUUUCAGACUCAUAGAUACCCUGGUCCUGCAUUAUUCGAAGUUGUCUAUUGCAGGUCAUUGUUGAAAUUUCCUUCUCCCUCUUGACCUCAGCAAUGACACUCCCUGGGGGUCCUUCUGGCCAGCGGCUGCUCCUUCCUUGUCUCCUUGCCUUGUCCUUAUUCUCAGCUUUGCCCUUUUACUAUUCUUCUAGCGUUUGUCCUGUCCAUACCUUCUCCCUACCUUUUAUUGCUUAUUCCCAUGGAUUUAAAUAUUCCCUAUCAGCUGACUUUUGAUUUAAUUCUCCAUCCUGGACGUUUCCUCUAUCUUCAGGUGCCUUCUUGACAUCUCCACUGGAGUUUCCCCCAGGUGUCGCAUUCUAAUCUGUCACAUAGUUAACUCUUCAUCUGCCCUCACACACCUCCUCCAUAUGUCCUCUCAAAUGAUGUCUUAAGUCUCCCCACGCCUCUGCAUCACCACAGCAUCCACCUUGCCCAUCUUCCACUUGGCCUGUUGCCAACCUCCUAACACAGUCUUCUCUGUUCCUUUGCUUCCUUCGAUCUGUUCUCCACACAGCAGAUAAUCUUCUUGAAGUAUAAAUCAGAUCAUGCCACUUGCCUGCUUAAAACUUUUCAAAGGUUUCACAUUGUGCUUAGAAUAAAACCAAAACUCUCUGUAGGAAUGUGAAUAAUUUGAUCUCUACCUGUCUUUUCUACUUUAUGUUACCUUCUUUCUUACCCAACUGUCUCAAGUCAUAUUGGUUUUUCCUUUCCAAGCUGUCACCAAGCUCUUUCCUGAUUUAGGACGUACUGUUUUCUCUGUCUAAAAAAUACCUACCUCCCACCCCCACUUAUUGAAUUUCUAUUUUUCCUUACUAUUCCUCUGGUUUCAGCUUAAAUAUAAUUUUCUUAAUGAAGUCUUCCAAGCCCUUUCUCUAAAGCUUGUUUUGUCUUUAACUCAGGUUCUUGUUUCCUACUUAUAACUUGUCACAAUUUCUUCUAACCUGUUUUUUUCGCCUAGUUUACAAGGGCUGGGGGAUCCUCUGACAGAGUUGCCCAUGUGCUCACCGCUGCUGUUGGACAAAUGAAGCCUGGAUGUGAAAGGGGUGUGAUGUGGGAGAGGCCAUCACACAAGAAGAAGCAGCUGUUUUCAUUGUGUUGUGUCUGAAGUUAUAGCAAGACAUUCAGAAGCAGGGACAAAGCGUUUGCAUUUGGCAAAGACACAGAGUCUCUUUGUAGGUGUUGCUGCUACCACCCUGAUGAAGCACUUUAGUGGGCCCCCCAUCGGAGUGUUGUUGCCAGCAGACUGGGAGGGAACACCUCGACCUUCCCAGUGCAGCGGGUUCCUAACUUCAAGGGGACAGAGAACAAAGCUGGGGAUGUGGUACUAGCCCCCCGGCAUUAGCUCAUGCAGCCCAAGAGUGAUGAGCUGAGCCCUGGUCCCCUGAAUUCUCCCUGAAACAAAGCCAGUCAACUGAUUCUACCUUAUACCACAAUCAAACCCUCAAGAGCAUCAAGUAAUAAAAAAGCAAAAAAUCCCAAUCCAAAGGACAUCAAAAUCAAAGGUUAAUGGAACAUCAUCCUACACCGAUAAGGAAAAAAACAGCACAAGAACUCUGGCUACUCAAAAAGCCAGACUGUUUUCUUACCUCCAAACAACCACACUCAUUCCACAGGAAUGGUUGUUAAGCAGACUGAACUGGCUGAAAUGACAGGUAUAGAAUUCAGAAUCUGGAUAGGAACGAAGAUCACUGAGAUUCAGAAGAAUGCCAAAACGCAAUCCAAAAAAACCUAAGGAAUCCAAUAAAACAAUACAAGACAUGAAAGAUGAAAUAGUCUUCAUAAGAAAGAAUCAAACUGAGUUGAUAGAGCUGAAUUUCACAAUACAAUCACAAGUAUUAACAGCAGAAUAGACCAGCCUGAGAAAAGAAUCUCAGAGCUCAAAGACUAGUUCUUCAAAUCAACUCUGUCAGAUGAAAAUCAAUAAAAAGAAUUAAAAAGAAUGAACAAGGCCUCCAAGAAAUCUGAGAUUAUGUAAAAAGACAAAUCUGUGACUCAUUGGCAUCUCUGAAAGGGAAGCUGAGAAAGCAACCAACUUGAAAACAUAGUUUAGGAUAUUGUCCAUAAAAUUUACCCAACCUCACUAGAGAGGCAAACAUUCAAAUUCAGAAAGUGUAGAUAACCCCUGUGAGAUAGUAUACAAGAUGACCAUUUCCAAGACGCAUAGUCAUCAGAUUCUCCAAGGUCAACAUGAAAGAAAAAAGUAUUAAAAGAAGCUAGAGAAAAGGGGCAGGUCACCUACAAAGGGAACCCUAUCAGGCUGACAGUAGAUCUUCCAGCAGAAACCCUGUAAGUCAGAAGAGAUUGGGAACCUAUAUUCAGCAUUCCUAAAGAAAAUAAAUUCCAACCAAAUAUUUUAUAUCCAGCCAAACUAAGCUUCAUAAGCAAAGGAGAAAUAAGAUCAUUUUCAGAUAAGCAAAUGCUAAGGGAAUUCAUUACCACCAGACUGUCCUUACAUGAGGUCUUUAAAGGAGUGCUAAAAAUGGAAAAGAAAGACCAUUAUCAGCCAACACAAAGCACACUUAAAUACAUAGACCAUUGACACUAUUUUAAAACACCAAAUAAUCAAGGCUGUGUGAUAACUAGCUGAUAUAAUGAUAAGAAGAUCAAAUCCUCACAUAUCAAUAUUAACCUUGAACAUAAGUGGGUUGAAUGCCCCACUUAAAAGUCACAGAGUGGCAAGUUGCAUAAAAAGCAAGACCCAAUUGUAUACUGUCUUCAAGAGACCCAUCUCAAUUCAAUGACACCCAUAGGCUCAAAGUAAAGAGAUGAAGAAAAAUCUACCAAGAAACUAGAAAACAAAACAAAAGAAAAAGUAGGGGUUGCUAUUUUAAUUUUGGACAAAACAGACUUUAAACCAAUAAUAAUAAAAAAAGACAAAGAUGAGCAUUGCAUAAUGGUAAAGCGUUCAAUUCAAUCAGAAGAUUUAACUCUUCUAAGUAUAUAUGUACCCAACACAGGAGCACCCAGAUUUAUAUAAAACAUUCUUGAAGAAUGGCCUAUAAUAUGCUUUGAUUCCAAUGUAAGUGUGGAGUAGGGGCAAUUAUAAAAUGAUAAUUAUUUCAGGUAUUUAUCAUCAUGAAGUUAUAUAUACAUGUUCACAUACAUAUAUACAUACACACACACACACAUACAUGUAACUGGACCCUUUGGGAUUUCAGCAACACAGAUUUUUUUAGUCACUGAAAUCAUGAAAAUUCUGAUCAGGCCCUUGCUUGAUGGCACAGGUUAACUGCUCACUUUUUGCCCAACAUUCUAUGUUCCUACAAUAUAAAUAUAAACUGCUGAUGUCCUGUUUCUUUGUCAAGCUGGAGGAAAUAACUUCAGGGUCACAAAAAAGUCUGCGGAAGGAAUGAACGCCCUGAAGGACAUUGUAACCAGCUGUUGAUGCCCAGAAGUCUUGUUGCUCAAGGUUUUAUCUAUGAUGAACCAGACUUUUUCCCCUGGAUUCCUGAAACUCCCCUACCUUAUUCUCCUGCUGCAUAAAAACUCCCUGCUUCUUCUUUUUGUUAAGAUGGGUUUGAGGGAUCUUGUCCAUUCACCUUCUCACUUUGGCCAAAUCAAAUAAGUUUUUAUCUCUAAGCACCUGUGACUCAGUGUUUGGCCUCAGCUGCACAUCAGGUAUAUAAUCCUGAAUUUGAGGUUCCACAAGAUAUACACACACCCACACACAGCAUAUUAUAUUGCCACGUUGUGGUGCUUUUUAUGGAAUAAUCAUUUCUGUAAAUGGCCUGUAGGCUAUAAAGAAAAACACCUGCCUCUAUUCAUUCACUGAACCCGUAUUUCCUAAGUACUUAUGACUUCCAGUCCCUCCUACCUGCACUGGGGAUAUGUCAGGCAAUAACAACAGAAAGCAACAAGCCGGCAGCCAGGUAUUGAAAGCUGCUAGGGGAGAAAAUAGUGAAAGGAGAUCAUGUAAACCAAGGAGAGUUUCUCCUUCAUAUGGAUGGCCAGGGAAGGCCUCAGGGAGGCAGCAGCAUUUUAACAGAGAAGUCAAGCCGAUCUAUGGGGGACAGCACUCCAGGGGCAAAGAACAGCAGGUCCAAGUGCCUCAGGCGAGGGGAGUGUGCUUGGCAAGGGAGAUGUGGGCCUUUGUGCCUAAGGACAGUGAGUAAUGGGAGGUGAUGAGGUGGCAGAGGUGUGGGCAGCGGUGCCAUAUUGCAUGGGGACCUUGUUGGUCAUCGUGAGACUAUGGUUUUCCCAACGGAGAUGGGGAGCCAUUGGAGGAGAUUCUGCAAGAGUGACGUGGUCUGACACAGCCUUUAGGGGAGAAAUCUGAUGACCAUGCAGAGAUAGAAGCAGAAAAGCAGGUCCCCACAGGAGGAACCCAUUCGGGUGUGACAGAGAUGUGGGCAGAGGGCAGCAGGGUGGCGUCAGCCAGUCACACCCUCGAGUGCUCUGAAAGUAAAGACAAUAGAAUUUGCUGGUGGACUGGACACAGGGUGAGAGGAAGGGAGAAACUGGCCCAACACUUCUUCCCAGGCAACUGGAAGCAUGGGGUUUCCACUUUCAGAGAUGCGUGGGAGAGAGGAGCAGGUAGCGGGGGUGGAAGAACCAGGUGAGGCCGUUGGAGACUCUGAUAUUACUAUUCACCCUUUUUAUUGAAAAGGAUGUCGUCAUUGACUCAAUAGGACAGAUGUGAAAAACUGAAAGAGACAUCUUGUUCUUAUCAUAACCUCCCCCCUCAUUUUGUACAUUUGCACAUAGAGAAGUUACUAGAAGGGACAGUGUGAGUGUGGCUCUGAGGUCCUUCAGUAACCCAUCCAUAGCAGUCUGCAGCUGGGCACUCAUACUGAGCCACAUGGCAGCUGCAGUCAGUGUCUCCCGGUGCAGGGCAUUGCGGGCUGGAGCCUCGCUCACUUUGUUCUGUCCCUCCCAUGUCACUCCCGUCUUGAGCAGACCCAGCCUCCUUCUUGGAUGGAGUGAAUCCACUUCUAUAUUUGAAGUAAUCUUUCAUGUAUUUUGAAAACACCUAGGCUCCAAAUCC